GACGAACGCUGGCGGCGUGCUUAACACAUGCAAGUCGAACGGAGAGGCCCCAUUGGGGGUACUCGAGUGGCGAACGGGUGCGUAACACGUGAGUAACCUUCCCUUGACUUCGUGAUAACUUCAGGAAACUGGGGCUAAUACCGGAUAGGCAUCCUUGCUGCAUGGUGGGGGUUGGAAAGCUUCGGCGGUUUUGGGUGGACUCGCGGCCUAUCAGCUUGUUGGUGGGGUAGUGGCUUACCAAGGCUUUGACGGGUAGCCGGCCUGGGGGGGCGACCGGCCACAUUGGGACUGAGGUACGGCCCAGACUCCGAAGGGAGGCAGCAGGGGGGAAUAUUGCACAAUGGGCGGAAGCCGGAUGCAGCAACGCCGCGGGCGGGAUGACGGCCUUCGGGGUGUAAACCGGUUUCAGCAGGGGAGAAGCUUGUGGUGACGGUACCUGCAGAAGAAGCACCGGCUAACUACGUG
rnacentral:rRNA from 1 species